AUGAACGCUGGCGGCGUGCUUAACCCAUGCAGGUCGAACGAUGAAGCCCAGCUUGCUGGGUGGAUUAGUGGCGAACGGGUGAGUAACACGUGAGUAACCUGCCCUUAACUCUGGGAUAAGCCUGGGAAACUGGGUCUAAUACCGGAUAGGAGCGUCCACCGCAUGGUGGGUGUUGGAAAGAUUUAUCGGUUUUGGAUGGACUCGCGGCCUAUCAGCUUGUUGGUGAGGUAAUGGCUCACCAAGGCGACGACGGGUAGCCGGCCUGAGAGGGUGACCGGCCACACUGGGACUGAGACACGGCCCAGACUCCUACGGGAGGCAGCAGUGGGGAAUAUUGCACAAUGGGCGCAAGCCUGAUGCAGCGACGCCGCGUGAGGGAUGACGGCCUUCGGGUUGUAAACCUCUUUCAGUAGGGAAGAAGCGAAAGUGACGGUACCUGCAGAAGAAGCACCGGCUAACUACGUG
rnacentral:rRNA from 1 species